rnacentral:rRNA from 1 species
ACGGCUCAGUAACACGUAGUCAACAUGCCCAAAGGACGUGGAUAACCUCGGGAAACUGAGGAUAAACCGCGAUAGGUCAUAAGUACUGGAAUGUUUUAUGGCUCAAAUCUACAUGGCCUCUGGAUUGGACUGCGGCCGAUCAGGCUGUUGGUGAGGUAAUGGCCCACCAAACCUGUUACCGGUACGGGCUCUGAGAGGAGGAGCCCGGAGAUGGGCACUGAGACAAGGGCCCAGGCCCUAUGGGGCGCAGCAGGCGCGAAACCUCUGCAAUAGGCGAAAGCUUGACAGGGUUACUCUGAGUGAUUCCCGCUAAGGGAAUCUUUUGGCAUCUCUAAAAACGAUGCAGAAUAAGGGGUGGGCAAGUCUGGUGUCAGCCGCCGCGGUAAUACCAGCACCCCGAGUGGUCGGGACGAUUAUUGGGCCUAAAGCAUCCGUAGCCGGUCUUGCAAGUCUUCCGUUAAAUCCACCUGCUUAACAGAUGGGCUGCGGAAGAUACUACAAGACUAGGAGGCGGGAGAGGCAAGCGGUACUCAGUGGGUAGGGGUAAAAUCCUCUGAUCCAUUGAAGACCACCAGUGGCGAAGGCGGCUUGCCAGAACGCGCUCGACGGUGAGGGAUGAAAGCUGGGGGAGCAAACCGGAUUAGAUACCCGGGUAGUCCCAGCUGUAAACGAUGCAGACUCGGUGAUGGGCCGGCUUCAUGCCGGCUCAGUGCCGCAGGGAAGCCGUUAAGUCUGCCGCCUGGGGAGUACGGUCGCAAGACUGAAACUUAAAGGAAUUGGCGGGGGAGCA